GCUGUGGGGAGGGCCUAAAACACA
rnacentral:piRNA from 1 species